UGGGGAAUUUUGCGCAAUGGGGGAAACCCUGACGCAGCAACGCCGCGUGGAGGAUGAAAUCCCUUGGGAUGUAAACUCCUUUCGAUAGGGAAGAUAAUGACGGUACCUAUAGAAGAAGCCCCGGCUAACUUCGUGCCAGCAGCCGCGGUAAUACGAGGGGGGCAAGCGUUGUUCGGAUUUAUUGGGCGUAAAGGGUGCGUAGGCGGUUUGGCAAGUCUUGUGUGAAAUCUUUGGGCUCAACCCAAAGUCUGCACAAGAAACUGCCGGGCUUGAGUAUGGGAGAGGUGAGUGGAAUUUCCGGUGUAGCGGUGAAAUGCGUAGAUAUCGGAAGGAACACCUGUGGCGAAAGCGGCUCACUGGACCAUUACUGACGCUGAGGCACGAAAGCUAGGGGAGCAAACAGGAUUAGAUACCCCCGUAGUCC
rnacentral:rRNA from 1 species